GCGAAAGUGGUGAAACGGCAGACACGCCGGAUUUAGGUUCCGGUGCCUUCGGCAUAGGGGUUCAAGUCCCCUCUUUCGCA
rnacentral:tRNA from 1 species